GUCCUAGAGUAGAAGAGCGACUGCUGCAUCGAGAGGGCCGAGUCCAAUCACAUCCGCGGCCGUGACAGAUCAAUUUAUGUUUCUAUGGUAACAAGGUCGGUGUGGUCCUGAAUGUCUUGACAGGUGUGUGCCGUUUAAGUUUACAGCAUGUACGCGAAAGGAAAAGGCUCCACAGUACCAUCAGAUGCUCAAGCCAGAGAAAAGUUAGCGUUAUAUGUUUACGAAUAUUUACUUCACGUUGGAGCACAGAAAGCUGCACAGACAUUCCUUUCAGAAAUACGAUGGGAAAAAAAUAUAACAUUAGGAGAGCCUCCUGGGUUUUUACAUUCAUGGUGGUGGUAAGUAUUUU